UUUUUUGUUUGUUUUUUUCUGGUCGUUUGCAUGCACCAUCGGCAUCGCCUGUACACGCGUCAUCACUAGGUUUUUAUUAUCUUUUAUUCCGGUCGAGCUCCCAAACUUCGAGCAGUACCAACACGCCGCUGCCUCUCCCACCCUCAUCUUCUUCGUCUUAUCCGCUCAGACCACUGUGUCUCUCUCGUCUCACUCCCACAGACCUCGGCCGGUCGCCGUUCGUCAACAGGAGGCUCGGCGCCGCGGGUGCGUCGCGGCAAGGAGUGCAUAUCUGCAUCUGCUCAUCCCCACAAGGCCAGAUGUCUGAUGUUGGUAGCAACCUUGGUGGCACAGCCGGUGGCGGAGAAGAUGGCAGGGCAAUCUCUGAUGGGUCUGAAGUUCAGAUAGAGGACCAGCAACCAGUCCCCCCACCUGUGCCAACAUCUCGGAUCUCUGUGAAACAUGCAGUUGAAGUCAUUCAAACGUUUGAUGAGUACAAGAGGUGGUUGGUACAAGAAAUCGGGUUUGGUGGAAUGUUGAAGUUGCCCAUGCUGCAGAAGCUUAAUCUCAAAUUCAGUGCAUGGACAAUGAGCAAGGUUAGUGUAUCUCAGCGCGCAAUUAUAUUGUCUGAGUCAAAGAAGCUGACGUUCUGGCCGGAGGAUGUGCACAAAGUAUUUGGGAUACCUUGCGGUCACCGCUCUAUCCGGGGGUGUGAUGGUCACAUAACGCCUGAUGCAAUUCAAUUCAUCAAGAAGACUCUCGGGAUGGACAAAAAGGGUGUUCAUAGCCUGCGAGCCGCGGAAGAGUUCCUACUACGAGAUGUAUCAGAGACAUAUAGCAAGCUUGAGAAGGAUUGUUUUCAAAUUGCUUUCGUCAUUUUUGUCAUGGGACACAUGCUUGCGCCAACCACAAAGCAUGAUUAUGCCACCAUUGAUUUUUGGGGUGCCCUUGCAAACACUGAAACAAUAUCACAAUUCAAUUGGUGUGAGUAUGUUCUUCAGUGCUUGCUAGAAGCUGUUAGACGUCUCAAGAAGGACAUGCUUUCAAACAAUCCAGGCACUAACCUUGUUGGUUGUCACCUUUUUCUUCAGGUGUUCUUCCUGGACAAUAUUGACUUAGGCAUUUUCAAUAAGAAGCAUAAUGUGCUCCCCCGUAUAAGUGAAUUUGAUCAGGACAGCAUUAGGAACAUGAUCACAAUGUCCACUGACAUUGGGAAGAACCCCACAUCACAUUCAAACAACAAGCUACGUGCGGCAGAAGAUGUUUGCUAUGCCUGGCAGUAGUAUACUCAGGACCAACCCAACACCCUUCUUGCAGGCACCAACAGUGGUGGCAACAGCGCAUCCGCUGCAUGUGACGCACAUCAGUUCUCUCGAAAUGACAAUGCAACAGUGACACCCACGCACAAUGUAUUAGAUGUACAUACACCAAUUCGCACGCUUGGGCCCAUUGAUUUCACACACUACCUCCGCACACACUAUCCGAACUUGGCAUCAGAUGAGAUCAUUGUACUUCUGAAUGAACAGAAUGCUCGGGUACAACGUCACAUAAAUACAGCUCGUGCAAACGCUCAAUUGGACAUGUUUAAAUUUGCAGAUAAACUUUUCAAUGCACUUUCCAAGAGGUGCAUAUGUUGUUCCAUUAGAGGCUUUUUUGAUUGUCCAGCAAGAGCUAUCCCAGAACCACAAGCUAUGACCGCCACGACACCUGCUCGCCCCAACAUACCCGGUGUCAGGCUGGACAUGUCUGCAUGUGAAGGUGAUAGCUCUACCUCCAAGAGAACUCGUUGCGGGGAUACACCUGAUCCCAUGCGCAAGCGCCACUGCUCUGAAGGGGAAUCUCCCGCAGAUAUCAACAUGUCGAUUGUUCGUUUUGCCCAGUUCACCUUGCGAGCAAUCAGUGAACUAUUCAUCAAUCUGCCCAAUGAUGGUAGUACUACAGUUUUCGGUGAGCGGCGGGAAGAGCUACCUGGCCGCAAGUAUGUUCAGCACCCUGGGUUCCAAACUGAUCCUUGGGGCAGGGGUGUCGUCCCGCCACCCCCCUGCAAUGAUAUAUCUGAACUUAUCCUUCAGUUUUUUGCAUCGUCAUCCGUGCAAGAACUAUCGAGGAAUUUCCUGGUUCAUGAGAUGCCGAGGUUUGCACGCGUCACUGGAGUGGCAAUNNNNNNNNNNNNNNNNNNNNNNNNNNGAGACCCUAAUUGAUCACGAGUUGAUGUUUGUAAUCCUUCAUCGAUAUUCUUAGAUCGACCAGCAAUAUGAUCCAGAAUGCCCAUAUCUUACCUGGCGUCACCCUAUCGAGCCAGAUUUCUCAACGCUUGUCCUGGCAGAGUACGAUUUCCUCCAUACCGUGUCGAUCCAGAACCAGCUUGUUGCUGAUUCGCUUAAGUAUGAUCUCACUUCAGUGGAGCUGUUUUACACACCUGUUCCACGCCCAGAGGGCUGGAUGGCUGUUUUCUUCAACAUGCUGACUAGGGUCAUCUGGGUGAUUGACCCACUGUACCACAACAAGUUAGCCUGCCCACCCACGGGGCAACGCGACGAGAUUAUAGCAUGGAAGCUGCAUGAUGCAUUGUUCACUUGUCUGAAUGAAUUCUACGCUGGAUGGCCAACUAGCAAGGAUAAUUGGACUCUCAAGUUCCCUUCCAUGACCAACUGCAUUUUCUCCCGUGCCGACACAGGCGGGUGUGUCCUCCAUGUGGCAAGGCACUUUGAUGCUCACAAGCUGAAAAUGCCACUCACCAAGAUGCAGGGCUCCCACAAUUGUCUUCAUGAUCCACAUCAGUGUUUCCCGCCACACGACUUGUAGUCCUAUGAUCAGGGUCUAUGCUAGCAGGGUAGUGAGCCCCACUGACUCCCUCAGCUGCAAAAUAUAAAAUUACAACUGUUUGUCAACCUGAUGAAAUAUGGGAAUUCAAAUCAAUCUGGGGAAACAUAUGCCACCUUGAAUUGCCGCUGCUGCCUCCACAAAUCUUGCCACCAACAAUGACAUGGAUGCAAUAUCUGGAAUGAAUUCUCUGUGCCAUACAUAAGAAGCUGAAUCUGGUGUUGACUGAAGCAUCCGGAACAGCGUCAUUGGCGAGGCUCCACCCCUGUCUGGUGUGACCAGAUCUAUGAAUGCUUCGAAAGACAUAGCUCUUGUGGGUGCGAAACCUAACGUCCAGAGUGAUUAAAUGCAAUUUACUCAUUAUCUGCUACAUGCAUAUGUUGUAUGUAUUUUGUUUGUGUUUUUUAUACGAAACCU
rnacentral:rRNA from 1 species